rnacentral:rRNA from 1 species
GAUGAACGCUGGCGGCGUGCCUAAUACAUGCAAGUCGAGCGAACGGACGAGAAGCUUGCUUCUCUGAUGUUAGCGGCGGACAGGUGAGUAACACGUGGAUAACCUACCUAUAAGACUGGGAUAACUUCGGGAAACCGGAGCUAAUACCGGAUAAUAUUUUGAACCGCAUGGUUCAAAAGUGAAAGACGGUCUUGCUGUCACUUAUAGAUGGAUCCGCGCUGCAUUAGCUAGUUGGUAAGGUAGCGGCUUACCAAGGCAACGAUGCAUAGCCGACCUGAGAGGGUGAUCGGCCACACUGGAACUGAGACACGGUCCAGACUCCUACGGGAGGCAGCAGUAGGGAAUCUUCCGCAAUGGGCGAAAGCCUGACGGAGCAACGCCGCGUGAGUGAUGAAGGUCUUCGGAUCGUAAAACUCUGUUAUUAGGGAAGAACAUAUGUGUAAGUAACUGUGCACAUCUUGACGGUACCUAAUCAGAAAGCCACGGCUAACUACGUG